UUGAUCACAGUGGAGUCACGUUCCUUGUUAUCAUUUAUGAUUCGGGUCCACGUCCGCCGUAAUCUUGACCCAAGUCAAGUCAAACUCAAGUCAGAUUGUAAUGAUGCAAUCCGUCCACUGGAUCACCAAUCAAGAUGGUUACCAUCAAAUCAACGGCGACAGGAUUCGGGUUCGUAGUGUCCGUUCGCUUCAAACUCCGUUCGGCUGCGUGUUGGGCGCCGCCCUCGAAACGGAGAAGAAAACCGCCGCAAAGAUCGCUCAAUUCCUUAACGAACCCUUGAAUCCCUUUAAAUUCGAAAAAGGAAGCGAAUCGUAAUCGAGAUUCCUUCCGCUUAAUCGUCGGAAAUCACGAGCAUGAUGAUCUUGGAAGCGGCGGUGGCGGAGGAAGAAGAGGAUGCGAGGCCGAUGUUGGAGCGGCGGGGAGAGCCCUUGAUGGGGAGCGUCGGAGGGGAUGUGCAUUUGAUUCCGCCAUCCAACUUCGGGGUUCCCUAUUUCGGACAAUUUUCCCUUCUUGGAGUCCCUCAACUUGCGAUCCAUCGUGUACUUGUGCCCGGAGCCGUACCCGGCGGCUAAUGCUGAGUUCGUGAGGUCUCAGGGGAUUCGGCUUUUCCAGUUCGGGAUCGAAGGGAGCAGGUCAAAACUAUAUGGUGCCUGCUUAGCUCAUUUGUUCUGUUGUUUCGGAUGUAAGGAACCAUCCGAUUUUAAUUCACUGCAAACGGGGAAAGGUAUGAAAUUUAGGUCAGAUCAAGUUACUUUAUCUCACAUAUUUAUGUAAGGAUCUCUAAAACUCACUUAUAUUUACCCAUCAAUGUCCUUUCUUGCAGCACCGUACUGGUUGUCUUGUUGGCUGUUUCAGAAAAUUACAAAAUUGGUGUUUAUCCUCUGUGCACGAAGAAUACAUAAAAUUUGCAUCAGUCAAGGCGCGGCCAUCGGACAUGAAAUUUAUUGAGAUGUUUGAUGUUUCGUGUAUGAUGCAAUGUGUUCUUCAUAUCUUGUACCAGUACCAUGGCUGUGGCAACCACACUCGGCGCCUUGCUUAUCAAAAGACAUCAUAAUUGCCCUUUAGGCUUCGCUGAUUUUGCAUGGGCAAGGAGAAGCAUCUAACAAGAUUCUCCAUGCACUUGCUGAUCUUAGUUCUCUCAUCGUCUUUUCUGUACAUCAUUCUAGUUAGAAAAUUAUCAUACUUUAAAGAGAAGUCUUUUAGGUGUAAGAACUGCAUCUCUUGAUGAACAUAUUGAUCAGAUAUAGAUUUUUUUUUUCUAGCUUUUAUUCCUUGAGAAACUUAUAGCGUUUAAAUGGUUUAAACGCAUAAGAAGAUCACCAUGACUAGUAGUUUGGGCUUCUUUUUUGUGUGUGAAAAGCAUUUCUCUGAAAUUUUUUGU